rnacentral:rRNA from 1 species
GAUGAACGCUAGCUACAGGCUUAACACAUGCAAGUCGAGGGGAAACGAUGAGAGAGCUUGCUCUCUUAGGCGUCGACCGGCGCACGGGUGAGUAACGCGUAUCCAACCUACCCAUUACAGGGGGAUAACCUUGCGAAAGUAAGACUAAUACCCCAUGGCAUUUUAUGGUGGCAUCAUUAUAAGAUUAAAGAUUUAUUGGUAAUGGAUGGGGAUGCGUCUGAUUAGCUUGUUGGCGGGGUAACGGCCCACCAAGGCAACGAUCAGUAGGGGUUCUGAGAGGAAGGUCCCCCACAUUGGAACUGAGACACGGUCCAAACUCCUACGGGAGGCAGCAGUGAGGAAUAUUGGUCAAUGGGCGAGAGCUUGAACCAGCCAAGUAGCGUGCAGGAUGACGGCCCUAUGGGUUGUAAACUGCUUUUAUAGGGGAAUAAAGUGAGCUACGUGUAGUUUAUUGCAUGUACCCUAUGAAUAAGGACCGGCUAAUUCCGUG